UACGGAGGGGGCUAGCGUUAUUCGGAAUUACUGGGCGUAAAGCGCACGUAGGCGGAUUGGAUAGUUGGAGGUGAAAUCCCAGGGCUCAACCUUGGAACUGCCUUCAAAACUUCCAGUCUUGAGUUCGAGAGAGGUAAGUGGAAUUCCGAGUGUAGAGGUGAAAUUCGUAGAUAUUCGGAGGAACACCAGUGGCGAAGGCGGCUCACUGGUCCAUUACUGACGCUGAGGUGCGAAAGCGUGGGGAGCAAACAGG
rnacentral:rRNA from 1 species